AUCAAAUGGUAUAGUUGUUAAAAUUUACUGAAAAUUUACAUCUGUGAAAGUUGAUUUAACGAACUCGAAUAUCGAAGAUGUUCGAAAGAUCUUGGGAGCGCGAUGCGUCAACGUUUUGCAGAUUAUUUCAAUGAUAGAACCGCGUACACUUGUAAGAAAAUAUAUUUUUAAAAAAUUGAUUAAUACAGACCUCGACUGGAAGGUCCAAUAAAGAUAGUCGGGAAUUCGUUGGAUCAUCUUCAACUUGUUCGCAGCUUUGUUCUUCGUCGCUCAUUUUAUUGAAAAUGGCCAGCACCGUGUGUUAUCUUUCUAAACAAUAUCAUUCGAUCGACAGCUAACCGCCGAUCCGUUAAUUCACCGUGUAGCAAGAACAACGAGAAAUGACUGUUGCUUUUCACCGACGUUAUUAUUGACCGUUUUGGUUCUGGGUGCACAAUGCAGCCUUGGACCAACGACCAACUCCCAAGAACAGAUACAGGGCUGACAACCAUAACCGUAGAAAUUUCGAAAUGAAUCGGCUACAGCUACAGCUAAAAAUUCGAAAUUAAUAUUUCGAUGAAGAUCUUUUUCUUUCGAUUACAAUACUGAUGGACCAAUAAAGUUAUAGUUUUUUUUUAAACAAUAAAUUGAUUUAUUAAUUUACAGAUCGAUUUUGCUACAUUUUCUCGUAAACGGCGUAACACAACGCGCAUUGUUAGAUUUAAAAUCAAUUAACAAUCGUAAUGUAAAAAUAAUAUUUAAGCGAUCAUAAUCGCAUUAUGACA